rnacentral:rRNA from 1 species
GAUGAACGCUGGCGGCGUGCCUAAUACAUGCAAGUCGAGCGAACAGAUGAGGAGCUUGCUCCUCUGACGUUAGCGGCGGACGGGUGAGUAACACGUGGAUAACCUACCUAUAAGACUGGGAUAACUUCGGGAAACCGGAGCUAAUACCGGAUAAUAUAUUGAACCGCAUGGUUCUAUAGUGAAAGACGGUUUUGCUGUCACUUAUAGAUGGAUCCGCGCCGCAUUAGCUAGUUGGUAAGGUAACGGCUUACCAAGGCAACGAUGCGUAGCCGACCUGAGAGGGUGAUCGGACACACGGGAACUGAGACACGGUCCAGACUCCUACGGUAGGCAGCAGUAGGGAAUCUUCCGCAAUGGGCGAGAGCCUGACGGAGCAACGCCGCGUGAGGGAUGAAGGUCUUCGGAUCGGAAAGCUCUGUUAUUAGGGAAGAACAAAUGUGUAAGUAACUAUGCACGUCUUGACGGUACCUAAUCAGAAAGCCACGGCUAACUACGUG